rnacentral:rRNA from 1 species
AUUGAACGCUGGCGGCAUGCUUUACACAUGCAAGUCGGACGAGUGGCGAACGGGUGAGUAACAUAUCGGAACGUACCGAGUAAUGGGGGAUAACUAAUCGAAAGAUUAGCUAAUACCGCAUAUUAUUCGAGCGGGCGAUAACUGUUUAGCUGGUUGGAGGGGUAAAGGCCUACUAAGGCGACGAUCAGUAGCGGGUCUGAGAGGAUGAUACCCCACACUGGAAAUUGGACACGGCCAAGACCCCUACGGCAGGCAGCAGUGGGGAAUUUUGGCCUAUGGGCGCAAGCCUGAUCCAGCCGUGCCGCUUGUCUGGAGAGGGCCGUCGGGUUGUAAAGGACUUGUGUCAGGGGAGCGUUGCCUGAAGAAUAAGCACCGGCUAACUACGUACCAGCAGCCGCGGUAAUAC